rnacentral:lncRNA from 1 species
ACUGGGACUAGGAAGCGUCGAAGGAUAAACACUGACGAUGCUGAUGUCCGUUGGCACAAGACAGGCAAGACAAAGCCAGUACUAGUUGAUGGAAAACACCUUGGUUGUAAGAAAAUAAUGGUGCUUUAUAUAAGCCCGUUGAAGGGUGGAAAGGCUGAGAAGACCAAUUGGGUGAUCCACCAGUACCACCUAGGCACUGGAGAGGAUGAGAGAGAUGGUGAAUAUGUUGUCUCCAAACUAUUUUUUCAGCAACAGUUUAAACCUGGGGACAAGAAUGCUCAAGAGCUAACUACAUCCGAUGAUCUGGAAUCAAUGGCUGCUGAAUCAAAUCUCCCAGAUUUUACUACAUUGCCCACUGACAAACAUGUUGGUACAGUCCAAGAAGUUGUUCAUAAUCCUGAGCAUAAUCUUUACCAGGUAACUGAAUAUGUGGCCCACAUUUGUAGGUGAUAGGUAAGUUGAACCAGAAAAUAGAACAUAUACUGCUAACUUAUUUUUUGAUAAUUGAAAAUAGAAUUUAGAAAUACAUUUGUUUUUCCUAAUGUGCAGCUUAAUAGAAACUGUGAAAUAAGCAUUGAAGAGACUGUUGUCCUCCCACCCUCUGGAAAAACAACAAAGGACGGAUAUAAUCUCCAAUCACAAGAUUAGAAGUUGUGGGAAGGCGAUUCCCAGUUUGAAUUGUUAGACUCGCAGCAGCUGGCAGAAGGACUCGCUCUCUGUGACGAGUUCCUCCUGAGUCAGUCUCAGACCUCUUGUGGAGGUGGAGAUGAACCUAGAGAGACCAAACCCUGCCUGGCUGCUUAUGCCCAUCUGUCAGCAGAGGACUUCAAGAAGAGGUGGCGGGCAAAAACAGCAGCUGUGUCAGGUGGCGAAGACGAAGAAGAGGUGGCGGGCAGAAGCCGAAUGGUGUAGAGGGGGCCGGUGCUGUCACAUCGGAGGAGGGGGAGCCGAGUUGCCAAGUCCUUCACAGUAAGACCAGAAGAGUCAAACUCAACAGAACAAGAAUUAUCAGUAGUAAACCGACGAAUAGAAAGUAGAUUGUGGACCAAAGGAGUGACAAGAACAUCGGGCAUGCGAAAAAAGCCGGGAGGGCCGGCGGCACCCACAGAUGUGACAGGGAGACACGAGCCAUUCGCCACCAUGAUGGACGAAGGGAGAGAGGAAGGUGGAGGGCGCACAGAGGUGAGUAUACCAGGGUCCGGAGUGGUGUGGUAGGUAGCACCGGUGUCCGCGAUCCACUCGGGACCCAGCGGUGGAGUCAGAGUGGGAGUCUGGAAGGGGCAACCAGGGCGGUCGCGUCCCAACUAACCAGCCCAGACGGUGGAGUAGCCGGUGGUGGAGUAGCGGACGGCGUGGGCCACGAUGAAGCGGCAGGCGACAGAGUCCAGGGCGAUGGAGAGGCGGCGGCGAGGUGAACCCCGGUUGUGCACUAGCGAACAUGGCCACCGGGGGACGAGCCGCAGAAACAGGCCCCUGGAACGGCCACAUGGAGAUGCGCCCUGACCACGGGUGGUGAAAAGUGGGCCAAGGCGCACCCUGUUGGGGUCCCGGUGUCGGAGCGCUGCCACGGGCACCACCGCCGGGACCAGCACCACCACCACCACCACCACGGCGGCGACGACCACCACCACCUCCACCUCCGCCACCGCGACCCCCGCCGCCCAUGUUCGGCCCGGGGGAACGAUGGCCUGACGGAGUAGGAGGACGGGUCGGGGUGAGAGCCGCCAGAGCUGUCGAGGAGGACGAGGACCCCGGGCUGGAGAUCAAGGUAGCCUGAGCACCCAGAGUGAUCUCCUCCAGGGCGAGGUCGUCACGGACCUGGAGGAAGGUAGGGAAGGGGCGCUGGCGCAUGAUCAACGACCGGAGAUGGGUUUAGCGAUCACUGAGGCCGCGGAGGACGUUGAGGACUAGGUUGCGGUCCUCCACGGGGCAGCCCAGAUUGCCAAGUGAGUCCGCCAUGGUCUUCAUCGUGCGGCAGUACUCACUGACGAUGAGGUCCCCCUGGACGAAGGUGCGGAAGGCUGCGUCAAGACGGAGAGCCCGGGCCUCGGCGUUACCCAGAAACUGGCCCUCGAUGGCAAGCCAAACAGCCCGAGCGUGAGGAAUGUUCCGGAGGAGGCUGUGGAGGUCAACGGAGAUCGUCCCCACGAUCCAGGUAAGCACGAUGCUGUCGAGGCGCACCAACGCGGCGGUCGGCGCCACACUGGCGGGGUCGCAGAGAACGUGGUCAUCCAGAGCGUAACGACGAAGGGUGAGGAGUAAGUCCCGUCAGCGUGCGUAGGACGAAGACUCUGGCUCCAGGACGACAGGAACCAUGAGGCGAAUGUUCUGGACACUCCCAGCCUGAAGGUGGAGCUGAGCCACGAGCGGGUCAGCCGGGUCAUGCCACAACACCGUGGGGAUGGUGCGGGGUCCGGUGCCGACGGUUGGUGCGGGCGGGACGCCAUACACUCCGCCCACGGUGUCAGAGGAGGUGACCCCGCCGUCGUGGGUCGCAGGCGAGGCGAGGAGCUGUUCCGCCGCGGCAAUCUGAGCAGCGAUAGCAUCAGCGGCCUCGCGCUCGCGCUCCCACACGAGAGCGGCUUCCCGCAAACGGGCCUGUCGCGCCGCGUGCUCCGCACGGGAAGCAGUCAGGGCGGCGACAGUGGAUCCCUGGUGGGCGACCAGUGGAGGGGGAGGCGGCGGAUCAACGACAGACGACGAGGGGAUUGGCGGGGGAGGGUCCUCCGGACCGGCAACCCCCGCAGGAGGGGCAUCUGCCACAGCCGCAAGGACCGUUGCGGUGCCCGUCGCGGUGAGGGACCCUCCGGCGGCAAUGGGCCCUGCCCCCCACGGCGGCCUGAGCACAGCAGUAGCGGCAGGAGGGACGGCGGCGGGUCGACAAGGAGACGCGGCCCGUACUCAGGAAGAGAGGGGAGGGAACUCGGCAUCCAUGGGAGGAGGGAAGACCCGGGUGCGCUGGCGGCGCUCGGGGGCGUCUGGUCGGGUGGGACAGAGGCAGGGCUGGCGGGGGCGGGCACCUGGGCGCUCCUGGCGGGCGCGGCGCGGCUCCUGGCGGCGCUCGCCUGGGACAGAGGAAGGAAGGGCGGGGCCGGGCGGGCAGAGCGGCGCUCUGGCGGCGCUCCCCUGGGCGCGGCGAGGCAGAGGCAGGGCGGGGCGGGCAGAGCGGCGCGUCGGGGCGCUCCGGGCGGGCGUGGCCCCUGGCGGGCGUGGCACCUGGCGCUGGCGGCGCCCCUGGGCGCGACGGCGGCAGCAGGGAAGGGAGGUGGCGGCUGCACAGGGAAGGGAGGUGGAAACCCUAGCUCGAUACCAUGUCUCAGGUAACUGAUAGAUACAUGAGGCUAACCCUAAUGGGUAGCUAUAUAGUGAUGUACAUGAGCCACAUGGGCCUAGAUACAUGGCAUAUACUCUAACACCACUUUUCAUUAGAUAUGUCAUUUCCAUUUCUCUGUAAUUAAGCAUGGUUAGGAAUAAAUAAAAAAUAAUAUAUAGCAAUUGCCAAAGAUAAACAAUUUGCAUAUCUUAAGGAGUUCUUCAACUUGUUUAUAAAACUGGAAUAAAUGUCUAUGGUUAUAAACUUAUAAUUAUAUUUGUCACUUUAACUGCCUUACUUUUUAGCCAUCUCAUGGCCAACUUAUAAGUUAAUAGACCUAUUGUAUUUCUGAAAUGCUUUGACUUUUGCAGUUACAGUAUGGGGCUUUUGCUGUGAAUAUCCCUUUUAAAGGUUCUAUUAAAGUGUGGUCAGCUGCAAAGUCUGAAAGGUUCCGUUAAAGUGUGAUCAGCUCAUGACUGUUUUCUUGCUGUAGGUUGUUCACCAGUGGCCCGGUUUGCCUAAAGGUGUAAAAUUUGAUCCUUCUGACCAGGAAUUAAUCUGGCACUUAAUGGCAAAACAUGGAAAAUCUGGAAUAAAACCUCAUCCGUUCAUUGAUGAAUUCAUUCCAACAGUUGAGGAAGAUGAAGGCAUCUGUUACACUCAUCCACAGAAACUUCCAGGUACUUAUAUCUUCUUUCUGAAAGAUUAUGCGAUUUUCAGGAUUAAGGUUCUUAAGUAAAAGCUUUUAUUUCAGAUAAUAUCAAAUUUGAAAUUCUGCAGUUAGAGCUACUGUCAAGUGCUUAUCUUUGUUAGUAAUUUGUUGUCCCGUGGGACUCUUUUUUGUUGAUCACACCCUAUGACCUGCAUUUAGCCUAGGAAAACUUCAGGCAGGGCAAAUUACUUAUUUUACUUUUCAUUUAUGGCUAGUUUCAUUUCCCCCUCAAACCCCUCCAAUUCCGGAGGGUAUUUGAGUUUCCAAACUAGCCCUUAAUUUUUUCACCUCGUCGCUAUGCAACAAUUGACGACCUGUACAACUCUUGAAUUGUUACCGCCUUCUUUGAAACAGACAUUUCACAUUCUGGUUGGAACACUUUUGCUUUGAUACUCCACUUGUUUUUCAACACUCAGGAGUCUUCUCUGUCCAUUUUAGGUGUUAAACAAAAUGGAAGUGUAUCACAUUUCUUCCACAGAACAUUUAAGGCUUACAACACUGGGACUAGGAAGCGUCGAAGGAUAAACACUGACGAUGCUGAUGUCCGUUGGCACAAGACAGGCAAGACAAAGCCAGUACUAGUUGAUGGAAAACACCUUGGUUGUAAGAAAAUAAUGGUGCUUUAUAUAAGCCCGUUGAAGGGUGGAAAGGCUGAGAAGACCAAUUGGGUGAUCCACCAGUACCACCUAGGCGCUGGAGAGGAUGAGAGAGAUGGUGAAUAUGUUGUCUCCAAACUAUUUUUUCAGCAACAGUUUAAACCUGGGGACAAGAAUGCUCAAGAGCUAACUACAUCCGAUGAUCUGGAAUCAAUGGCUGCUGAAUCAAAUCUCCCAGAUUUUACUACAUUGCCCACUGACAAACAUGUUGGUACAGUCCAAGAAGUUGUUCAUAAUCCUGAGCAUAAUCUUUACCAGGUAACUGAAUAUUCUCUUGUGUUCAUUAUCUAUAUUUUCUAUGUGGCCCACAUUUGUAGGUGAUAGGUAAGUUGAACCAGAAAAUAUAACAUAUACUGCUAACUUAUUUUUUGAUAAUUGAAAAUAGAAUUUAGAAAUACAUUUGUUUUUCCUAAUGUGCAACUUAAUAGAAACUGUGAAAUAAGCAUUGAAGAGACUGUUGUCCUCCCACCCUCUGUAAAAACAAUAAAGGACGGAGAUAAUCUCCAAUCACAAGAUCAGAAGUUGUGGGAAGGCGAUUCCUAGUUUGAAUUGUUAGACUCGCAGCAGCUGGCAGAAGGACUCGCUCUCUGUGACGAGUUCCUCCUGAGUCAGUCUCAAACCUCUUGUGGAGGUGGAGAUGAACCUAGAGAGACCAAACCUUGCCUGGCUGCUUAUGCCCAUCUGUCAGCAGAGGACUUCAAGAAGAGGUGGCGGGCAAAAACAACAGCUGUGUCAGGUGGCGAAGACGAAGAAGAGGUGGCGGGCAGAAGCCGAAUGGUGUAGAGGGGGCCGGUGCUGUCACAUCGGAGGAGGGGGCGCCGAGUUGCCGAGUCCUUCACAGUAAGACCAGAAGAGUCAAACUCAACAGAACAAGAAUUAUCAGUAGUAAACCGACGAAUAGAAAGUAGAUUGUGGACCAAAGGAGCGACAAGAACAUCGGGCAUGCGAAAAGAGCCGGGAGGGCCGGCGGCACCCACAGAUGUGACAGGGAGACACGAGCCAUUCGCCACCAUGACGGACGAAGGGAGAGAGGAAGGAGGAGGGCGCACAGAGGUGAGUAUACCAGGGUCCGGAGUGGUGUGGUAGGUAGCACCAGUGUCCGCGAUCCACUCAGGAGCCAACGGUGGAGUCAGAGUGGGAGUCUGGAAGGGGCAGCCAGGGCGGUCGCGUCCCAACUAACCAGCCCAGACGGUGGAGUAGCCGGCGAUGGAGUAGCGGGCGGCGUGGGCCACGAUGAAGCGGCAGGCGACGGAGUCCAAGGCGAUGGAGAGGCGGCGGCGAGGUGAACCCCGGCUGUGCACUAGCGAACAUGGCCACCGGGGGACGAGCCGCAGAAACAGGCCCCUGGAACGGCCACAUGGAGAUGCGCCCUGACCACGGGUGGUGAAAAGUGGGCCAAGGCGCACCCUGUUGGGGUCCCGGUGUCGAAGCGCUGCCACGGGCACCACCGCCGGGACCAGCACCAACAUCACCACCACAGCGCCGACGACCACCACCACCUCCACCUCCGCCACCGUGACCCCCGCCGCCCAUGUUCGGCCCGGGGGAACGAUGGCCUGACAGAGUAGGAGGACGGGUCGGGGUGAGAGCCGCCAGAGCUGUCGAGGAGGACGAGGACCUCGGGCCGGAGAUCAAGGUAGCCUGAGCACCCAGAGUGAUCUCCUUCAGGGCGAGGUCGUCACGGACCUAGAGGAAGGUAGGGAAGGGGCGCUGGCUCAUGAUCAACGACCGGAGAUGGGUGUAGCGAUCACUGAGGCCGCGGAGGACGUUGAGGACUAGGUUGCGGUCCUCCACGGGGCAGCCCAGAUCGCCAAGUGAGUCCGCCAUGGUCUUCAUCGUGCGGCAGUACUCACUGACGCUGAGGUCCCCCUGGACGAAGGUGCGGAAGGCUGCGUCAAGACGGAGAGCCCGGGCCUCGGCGUUACCCAGAAACUGGCCCUCGAUGGCAAGCCAAACAACCCGAGCGUGAGGAAUGUUCCGGAAAAGGUUGUGGAGGUCAACGGAGAUCGUCCCCACGAUCCAGGUAAGCACGAUGCUGUCGAGGCGCACCCACGCGGCGGUCGGCGCCACACCGGCGGGGUCGCAGAUAGGGCUGGGCAUUCGGUCUAUUAGGGUAAUUCGGUUCGGUCUAUUCGGUUUUGUGAAAUUUCGGGUUCUGAAAAAUGAGAACCGAAAUUUUCAAAAAUAUUUUAGGAACCGAACCCGAAUAGACUCACAAUUUCGGUUCGGUCUAUUCGGUCCACCGAAUAGACCCGAAUUGUAGAGAGACUAGUAUAUUUUGUUAAAAUAUAUACAAUGAAUAAUUAAUUGAAAGUACUAUUACUAAAACAAGUGACUAUAAAAAUUAGCAUACAAAGAUAUAUAUAUUAUCGUUAAGAUGAUAUCAUUAUUUCUAGCUAAUAAGUUCAUAAAUCAUAUAAUAAUACCAUCAUAUAUUAAGAGCUUUUUUAUAUUUCGGGUUAUUAGGUCUAUUUGGGUUUUAAAGGUUAGGAACAGAACCCGAACACAUAUCCCAAAAUUUAGCACAUAUAGGAACCGAACCGAACCCGAAAACCCGAAUAGACCAACAAUUCGGUCUAUUCGGGUUCGGUUCGGGUUCGGAUUCGGUUUUCGGUUUUAAAAUGCCCACCCCUAGUCGCAGAGAACGUGGUCAUCCAGAGCGUAACAGCGAAGGGUGAGGAGGAGUAAGUCCCGCUAGCGUGCGUAGGACGACGACUCUGGCUCCAGGACGACAGGAACCAUGAGGCGAAUGUUCUGGACACUCCCAGCCUGAAGGUGGAGCUGAGCCACGAGCGGGUCAGUCGGGUCAUGCCACAACACCGUGGGGAUGGUGCGGGGUCCGGUGCCGACGGUCGGUGCGGGCGGGACGCCAUACACUCCGCCCACGGUGUUAGAGGAGGCGACCCCGCCGUCGUGGGUCGCAGGCGAGGAGCUGUUCCGCCGCGGCAAUCUGAGCAGCGAUAGCAUCAGCGGCCUCGCGUUCGCGCUCCCACACGAGAGCGGCUUCCCGCAAACGGGCCUGUCGCGCCGCGUGCUCCGCACGGGAAGCAGUCAGGGCGGCGACGGUGGAUCCCUGGUGGGCGACCGGUGGAGGGGGAGGCGGCGGAUCAACGACAGGCGACGAGGGGAUUGGCGGGGGAGGGUCCUCCGGACCGGCAACCCCCGCAGGAGGGGCAUCUGCCACAGCCGCAAGGACCGAUGCGGUGCCCGUCGCGGUGAGGGACCCUCCGGCGGCAAUGGGCCCUGCCCCCACGGCGGCCUAAGCACAGCAGCAGCGGCAGGAGGGACGGCGGCGGGUCGACCAAGAGACGCGGCCCGUACCCAGGAAGAGAGGGGAGGGAACUCGGCAUCCAUGGGAGGAGGGAAGACCCGGGCGCGCUGGCGGCGCUCGGGGGCGUCUGGUCGGGCGGGACAGAGGCAGGGCGUGCGGGGGCGCGCACCUGGGCGCUCCUGGCAGGCGCGGCGCGGCUCCUGGCGGCGCUCGCCUGGGACAGAGGAAGGGCGGGGCCGGGCGAGCAGAGCGGCGCUCUAGCGGCGCUCCCCUGUGCGCGGCGAGGCAGAGGCAGGGUGGGGCCCCCCAAGGCAGGGCGAGGCGGGCAGAGCGGCGCGCCGGGGCGCUCCGGGUGGGUGCGGCCCCUGGCGGGCGCGGCAGCGGGCGCUGGCGGCGCCCCUGGGCGCGACGACGGCAGCAGGGAAGGGAGGUGGCGGCUGCAUAGGGAAGGGAGGUGGAACCCCUGGCUCGAUACCAUGUCUCAGGUAACUGAUAGAUACAUGAGGCUAACCCUAAUGGGUAGCUAUAUAGUGAUGUACAUGGGCCACAUGGGCCUAGACACAUGGCAUAUACUCUAACACCACUUUCCAUUAGAUAUGUCAUUUCCAUUUCUCUGUAAUUAAGCAUGGUUAGGAAUAAAUAAAAAAUGAUGUAUAGCAAUUGCCAAAGAUAAACAAUUUGCAUAUCUUAAGGAGUUCUUCAACUUGUUUAUAAAACUGGAAUAAAUGUCUAUGGUUAUAAACUUAUAAUUAUAUUUGUCACUUUAACUGCCUUACUUUUGAGCCAUCUCAUGGUCAACUUAUAUGUUAAUAGACCUAUUGUAUUUCUGAAAUGCUUUGACUUUUGCAGUUACAGUAUGGGGCUUUUGCUGUGAAUAUCCCUUUUAAAGGUUCUAUUAAAGUGUGGUCAGCUGCAAAGUCUGAAAGGUUCCGUUAAAGUGUGAUCAGCUCAUGACUGUUUUCUUGCUGUAGGUUGUUCACCAGUGGCCCGGUUUGCCUAAAGGUGUAAAAUUUGAUCCUUCUGACCAGGAAUUAAUCUGGCACUUAAUGGCAAAACAUGGAAAAUCUGGAAUAAAACCUCAUCCGUUCAUUGAUGAAUUCAUUCCAACAGUUGAGGAAGAUGAAGGCAUCUGUUACACUCAUCCACAAAAACUUCCAGGUACUUAUAUCUUCUUUCUGAAAGAUUAUGCGAUUUUCAGGAUUAAGGUUCUUAAGUAAAAGCUUUUAUUUCAGAUAAUAUCAAAUUUGAAAUUCUGCAGUUUACAGCUACUGUCAAGUGCUUAUCUUUGUUAGUAAUUUGUUGUCCCGUGGGACUCUUUUUUGUUGAUCACACCCUAUGACCUGCAUUUAGCCUAGUAAAACUUCAGGCAGGGCAAAUUACUUAUUUUACUUUUCAUUUAUGGCUAGUUUCAUUUCACCCUCAAACCCCUCCAAUUCCGGAGGGUAUUUGAGUUUCCAAACUAGCCCUUAAUUUUUUCACCUCGUCGCUAUGCAACAAUUGUCGACCUGUACAACUCUUGAAUUGUUACCGCCUUCUUUGAAACAGACAUUUCACAUUCUGGUUGGAACACUUUUGCUUUGAUACUCCACUUGUUUUUCAACACUCAGGAGUCUUCUCUGUCCAUUUCAGGUGUUAAACAAAAUGGAAGUGUAUCACAUUUCUUCCACAGAACAUUUAAGGCUUACAACACUGGGACUAGGAAGCGUCGAAGGAUAAACACUGACGAUGCUGAUGUCCGUUGGCACAAGACAGGCAAGACAAAGCCAGUACUAGUUGAUGGAAAACACCUUGGUUGUAAGAAAAUAAUGGUGCUUUAUAUAAGCCCGUUGAAGGGUGGAAAGGCUGAGAAGACCAAUUGGGUGAUCCACCAGUACCACCUAGGCACUGGAGAGGAUGAGAGAGAUGGUGAAUAUGUUGUCUCCAAAAUAUUUUUUCAGCAACAGUUUAAACCUAGGGACAAGAAUGCUCAAGAGCUAACUACAUCCGAUGAUCUGGAAUCAAUGGCUGCUGAAUCAAAUCUCCCAGAUUUUACUA